UUCUGCUUCGGCAGCACAUAUACUAAAAUUGGAACGAUACAGAGAAGAUUAGCAUGGCCCCUGGGCUAAAAGAUACUUGAGUGCGUCCCAUCCUUGGAUUUU